GCCAUAGCUCAGUGGCAGAGCCACGCUUCACGUACAGGACAUCCCAGGUUCAAUUCCUGGUAUCACCA